AGGAUAAUAGUUUAUAUAAAUAUCUAACUUGCACUUAGAAGUUGCUGAAUAUUUGGCCUAUCUU
rnacentral:tRNA from 1 species